AAUAGGAGAACGACAAAUCAGAUUUUUCCUCCUGAUUUUUAGCAUUUUUAGUUGGAUUUGAAUUUUGCAGGAGGAAAAAGCUAAAAAUCAAGAGAAAAAAUCUGAUUUGUCAUUCUUUUAUU
rfam:Gossypium raimondii Chr03_contig_957, whole genome shotgun sequence.